AAAAUCUCUUUUCUCACAAUCUCUCUUCUAUUUCCGCAAUACUAUCUCUUCCUUAUGUUCAUUUCUCACUCUCAACCCUCUUAAUCAAGAGUCCCAUUCUUGCAACCUAAAGCUCCAUAUUCUUACAAUAAAACACAUCUUCAAUUAUCUUCAAAGUACUAUUGAUUUAGGAUUAUAUUAUCUUAGAAACUUUGAGUUUUGGAAAGUUGGUUUUGCAGAUGCAGUGUAUUUAUCGAACCCUCAUAAGUCUAGAUCACAUACCAGAUAUGUUUUUACCAUUGGAGGAACUGCAACUUGUGGCGUUCUCAAAAGCAGAUUUUAGUCGCCACUUCAUCAAACCACCCAUAAAUUAUUGCUCUUCAUGAAGCGUGUAGAGAAUCUGUUUGGCUUAGAUCCAUGACUAACCAUAUUCAAAAAGCAAGUAGAUUCAUCAUCAAAAAGGAGCAACAAGAUUAUAUGAAGAUAAUGAUGCGUGUGUUGCUCAAAUCAAAGAAGGCUAUAUCAAAAGCGGCAGAACAAAUCAUAACCCUCUAAUAUAUAUAUAUAUAUAUAUGUGUGUGUGAUUUUAAUAAAAAACCGUGUAUGACUAAAAAAUAAGAAUAUAAUUUUAAAGAAAUCACAUGUGAUCUUAAUAAAAAAAUAUGUAUUACUACAAAAUAUCUUGAUAAAGAAAGAUAUUAAACUGAAUAUAAUAUUUUUCCAAAAAAACAUAUGCUUUUUUUAAGUACUAUGUAAUAUGAGAAAAUUAACAAGAUAAAAGAGGAUAUUAUGUUAUCGCAUAUAUUUCGGAAAAAAACAUGCUACAAAGGAUAUUUACGUAAUUACGUGUGUUCUACAACAUGUUUCCGACAAGGUACUUUAGCUCAUGGUUUGUUUCUUAUCUUUUUUUAAAUUCAUGGCUAGUUAAUAGAAAUUCCCUAUCAUCUUCUUAUCACUUACUCCCUAAGUACCUUGUUCCGCAGUUAACUAAAUCUAGCUUUCUCCCCAAGAAACUCUAGUAUAUAUAUGUUGGUUCUCUUCACUUCAUUGUAAGAAACAUAAGUCAAUAAGAUUAUCCACAAUGCAUGUGUUGAAUUAUUUAUUCAAUUGUUGAAUCUCCACAUUGCACAUAUUGAAUAUUUAAAAACCUUAAGUGGAUUCAGCUUGAUAAAAGGUAUGAAAAAUUAUUUCUAAUGCCCUUUUCAUGAUGCCCCUUUUCAACUUUACCUUUUUUUAUAGCUAUUUUCAUUUCUACCCUCUUUAAAUUUUUAAUGACUAUUUUACCCCUAUUUGGAAAUUGUUUUAGGUAAACAAAAUGAAAUAUUAAUAUUUUUCGCCUAAAAUUUUUCAAAAUAAUUUUUCCGCCAAAAUUUUCCCGCCAAAAAAACUUCGAAAAAAUAUUCCCGCCAAAAGUUUUUCGAAAAACAAAAUUUUCCGCCAAAGUUUUUUUCCAAAUAUAUUUUUCCCGCAAAUUUUUUUUUUUGGCGGGAAAUAGUUUUACAGAGAUUUUAAAAGGGUUUUAAAAGAUUUACAAGUGAUUUUAAAAGGGUUUUAAAAUAUUUACAAUGGAUUUUAAAAGGGUUUUAAAAUACUUAUAAGGGAUUUUAAAGGGCUGUAAAAGAUUUACAAAGGUUUUUUAUAGGUUUUUAAAGGGUUUAAAAUUGUUUUAAAAGGGUUUUAAAAUAUUUAUAAGUGAUUUUAAAAGGUUUUAAAAAAUUUACAAUAGAUUUUGAAAGGGUUUUAAAAUAUUUACAAGGGAUUUUAAAGGACUUUAAGAGAUUUACAAAGGAAUUCUAAAGAUUUUUAAAGGGUUUUCAAUCCCUGUAAAUAUUUUAAAAUCCCUUGUAAAUCUUUUAAAACCCUUUUAAAAUCUCUUGUAAAUCUAUUUCUCGCCAAAAAAACAUUUACAAGGAUUUUUAAAAGUAUUUUCUUGCCUAAGAAAAAAUUUGUUACACAAAAAAAAUUGGCGGAAAUUUUUUUAUUUUGGCGGGAAACUUUUUUUUUUUCGGGAUAAAAGUUUGGAGGAAAUUUUUUUUUGGCGCCAAAAAUUUGGUAGAAAAUUUCAAUUUCCAAUUCCAUGUUCCCAUUAGAUGAGGGUAAUUUGGUCAUUCUGUUCAAGGGAAGGGGUAUUUUUAAAAAUAAACAACACAAAAGGAUAUUGUUGCAAAAGGGUAGUAAAAAAGGGUAGUUUUGCAAAUCUCCCUAAAAGUAUUCAACAGAUUGAAAAAAAUAAAAUUCGGCCUGUCCAUAUCACGUUUCAGUAAGUAACAUUUUUUAUAGGAUAGAUUGGGGUUAACUUUUAUUGUCUAGGUAAGAGUACCGGAGAAAUAUCAAUUUUAAGGUCAAUUGUUUAUAUUAGUAACCAUGUUGCAGAUAAAUCGGUAGCUAAAAUGAAUGUUGCUUCAUGCUUUGUGUGUGUGGUUAUCUCAACGGUGUUAGUCUUAUGAAACUUUGCCAUGAGGGGAAUGAUUUAGGGUUCGUAAAUGGGAUAGCUUAUGUAACCUUAUCUAUUUUCACCCACUAUUGUGAAGCCUACUAUUUUAAAAUACUUGGGAUCUUCCUAUGUUGGGCUGUGAUAUUGGUAAAGAAUAUUUUGUUCACCUCUUACUGCCGACGUUGCUCCGAAGCUGCUACAAUUGGACUUCUAGUUCAACACUGAGGUGGUGGUGGUGGCGCUGGAGGUGGUGGUGGUGACGUUGGUGGUGGUGGUGGCGGCGCUGGUGGUGGUGGUGGUGGUAAUGGUCGUCGCAGAGAUGGAGCUCGACACCGAGGCAGAAGCAGAGACUUAAGUAGUAGUGAGGCCGAUUCUUUCCACUCAUCCUGGAGUUCGACUUCGGCAAGGAGUAGCAUAUGAUUUUAAGUCGUCGGUUUGGUCUCCUGAUACGUUUUGAGACUUGGUGGUGGUGGUGUGGAAAGAAGAGUGUACUGUCCCAAACUUUUUUUUUUUUUUUAAAUGAAGAGAUUAUUGAGAUGCUGACACUUGCUAUAUUUUCAUUAGAUAUUGAGAUUUUGACUUCAUCUUAUCUAUUUAUAAUCACUUAUUACAUACAAAACAAAGUUUUUAAAAAU
rnacentral:sRNA from 1 species